CUACCGGCAGAUAGCUCUCUGCAACUCUCGCAUGGUCGCCCACUGAAGCUAAGCAGGGCUGCGCCCGGUCAGUACCUGGAUGGGAGACCACAUGGGAAAGCUAGGUUGCUGCUGGA
rfam:Danio rerio chromosome 25, GRCz11 reference primary assembly.